UGAACCUUCUGCUUGGUCUCCUUCACCAGAAGAAACUCCGCCUAUCCUCAAAAAAAAAAAAAAAAAAAAAAAAAACUCCGCCUAUUUUGGCAGCUCACCCCUUGCUGAGGUUGUCCUCACCAUCCAUCGUUGACUAGGAUGAACGCUACUGCGCGAUGUCGUCUGUCCGCCGCCGUUCAGGAUCGAAGCUGCAGCCCACCCUUUGCGCCGCAAAAGAAAUGCUUGCACCUUGGUUCGACUGCUGGGAGGAGGACCACCCAGCGAGGUGACUGAGUUGCUGCCGCCAGACCAUGCAGUGGCAACUCUGUCUGGUACAUCUGCAGUUCUGCAUGUGUGUUUGUGGGCUUGUGGCUAGAAUGAGAACUGUGGCUACAUCCACCCCUCACUAUCGCGCAGUGCGAUUGUGGACACCUCAGUUUAUUUUUCUGAGUAUGCUCCACUCCCAUUCAGUGUGGUGGAUUUGAGAGGUUCGAGAGGUCCAAGCGACGGCGCCCGAACAGACCCCAUGUAGCCGACCCGUAAAAGAGCAUCUACUGCGAAUAUCCUUUUUCCUGGUCCAUUUGCGGGGUCUGACUCUGCCCCUGCCCGCGUAGGCCCGCAAAGCCGUUUUUCCGCGAACUACAAACGCGUUUUGCGGGUCGACAUUAUACUGGGUCUGCUAGAGAUGCUCUUACCCCACUGAAGCAAUAUAUGUGUCCGGUUUUAGUUCAACCUUUGUCCUAGAUCAACAAAUUUCACAGUUAGAUCUCAAUAACAUAUGUAUUGAAUGUUGCUUUUUUAUCCUUCAUAUAUAGUGUAGGCCUCCCCUUGCUUAUAUGUUGCCCCUUUUUAUUUGGAAAAGCUCAAGAUUUUUUUGCUGAAAGAAUGCUUCAAUUUUUUCUUAACAAAAAAUAAUUGCUAUUUGUAGCAUUAAUAAUGGGUUAUCUUUCCUUUUUGCUGAUAGGUUGUUGACUUUUAUUUUGCUUGGUUGCUUUCCAUAUUGAACUGGAUGAAUAUAGUGGGAGUGUAUAUUUAUCCAAGUGAUUAUAGUAAGAUGCCAUAUUGGUUUUAUCCACCGAGAAAAUGAUUUUCAGCAGAUCUUCGAUUCUUCGCAAAUGAUGUCUCGACCCGACCACCAGCAGCCUGGUGUCCAUCAAUUCAAGACCGUGCCUCCUCCCUAAUUAGGGUUUCUCUGCCUCCCGCUGGCGCCGAUGCCAGCCCGUCUCGUCUCCGGUGGCCUUAGGGCUAUGGGGGCGCGGUGGAUGCUGGCCCUUGCCGGUGAGAGGGCUCUUGUUUUAAAUGUGUCUUCGAGAUUUGUUAGGGUUUGUGUCCUGUACAGGAAAACGAGACGCGGCGGCAGCUCCCUGAAGAUGGAAUAAGGUUCUCUCUGCCUAGCCCCCCUUUGAUGGUGCGUCUAGCGUCAUCGGUGGGCGUGUGGAGGCGUGUCUACGGCGGAUCUGUCUUUGCUGGAUUUGUUCGGAUCUGUUCGUCUACGUUUGUAUGCCUUCAGAUUGGAUUCUUCCGAUCUACAUUACUCUUCAUCGACGACGGUUGCUGUUCUGGUGCGUUCUGGUGCGCUGGUCCUACGAGGCCUUAGCACGACGACUUCCAGACUGUCUACUACAAAAAGUUUUCCCGGCUCCAGUGAGGGAGGGGUGAUGACUGUCUUCAGCUCGCUUUAGUGCUUGUAAUUGUUGCUAGGUGGUCUAUGGAUUUGGAUGU